UACGAAGGGGGCUAGCGUUGCUCGGAAUCACUGGGCGUAAAGCGCACGUAGGCGGCUUUCUAAGUCAGGGGUGAAAUCCUGGAGCUCAACUCCAGAACUGCCUUUGAUACUGGAGAGCUUGAGUCCGGAAGAGGUGAGUGGAACUCCGAGUGUAGAGGUGAAAUUCGUAGAUAUUCGGAAGAACACCAGUGGCGAAGGCGGCUCACUGGUCCGGUACUGACGCUGAUGUGCGAAAAGCGUGGGGGAGCAAACAGG
rnacentral:rRNA from 1 species